CUGGACCUUGCAGCGAGUAGCAUGCCCGGAGAUUUUAGCCAGUGGAUAAUGAAGCAUUACGACCCGGAGAUUUCGCAGAUAGUCAUUCCAGAAAGGGGGAAGAUUCCUGUAGAUGUCGCAAGUGUCCGUAGGAUAUGGGGUUUGCCCAACAGGGGCAGGAAGGUGUGCUUCGAGAAUCGGCCUGAAAUCACAAAGGCAAUGUACAGUAUUUACAACAUCACAUCCAAGAACUCCCCAACCCUCACUGAAUGGUGCAAGAUGAUCGUUGACAUGGAAGGAUCUCAUGAUGAUGACUUUGUCCGCGCUUGGCUAGCUCUUGUUUUUUCAUGCUUCCUUGCCCCUUCAACUAGUUUGAGUAUUUCCCCAAAGAGCUUCCCAGCGGUCAUGGAUGUCAAUGGAAUAACGAGAACCAAUAUAUGA
rnacentral:rRNA from 1 species